GAUGAAGAACGUAGCGAAACGCGAUAGUUAAUGUGAAUUGCAGAAUUCAGUGAAUCAUCGAGUCUUUGAACGCACAUUGCGCCCCUCGGUAUUCCGGAGGGCAUGUCUGUUUGAGCGUCAUUUCAACCCUCAAGCUCUGCUUGGUGUUGGGCCCCGCCGCCCCGGCGGGCCCUAAAGUCAGUGGCGGUGCCGUCCGGCUCCGAGCGUAGUAAUUUUUCUCGCUUUGGAGGCCCGGGCGCGUGCUUGCCAUCAACCCCCAAUUUUUUUCAGGUUGACCUCGGAUCAGGUAGGGAUACCCGCUGAACUUAAGCAUAUCAAUAAGCGGAGGA
rnacentral:misc_RNA from 1 species